rnacentral:rRNA from 1 species
ACCUCCUACGGGAGGCAGCAGUGGGGAAUAUUGCACAAUGGGCGCAAGCCUGAUGCAGCCAUGCCGCGUGUAUGAAGAAGGCCUUCGGGGUUUGAUAAAGUACUUUCAGCAGUGAGGAAGGUGGGUAUGUUAAUAGCAUACUCAUUUGACGUUAGCUGCAGAAGAAGCACCGGCUAACUCCGUGCCAGCAGCCGCGGUAAUACGGAGGGUGCGAGCGUUAAUCGGAAUUACUGGGCGUAAAGCGCAUGCAGGUGGUUUGUUAAGUCAGAUGUGAAAGCCCGGGGCUCAACCUCGGAAUUGCAUUUGAAACUGGCAAACUAGAGUACUGUAGAGGGGGGUAGAAUUUCAGGUGUAGCGGUG